CUGAUCAGAGACACGCAGCCCAAGUUUCAGUUGGAGAAACUGAGGAGGCCUGCUUAGCCUUCCAGACUGCAGUUCUUCAUGCAUACCUUCAUGUACAGCCGCUGUUCACGCAUGCGUCCACGGGCUACUGGCGCCAGCCAUGCUGACAACCGUGGAUUCAAGGAACACGGGAGACCUUGGUCUGGGUACAGCCUGGGGGGGGGGCGCUUUCAGAAUAUGGCCACUACAU
rnacentral:lncRNA from 1 species